CUGUUGUGAUCACCAAAGCAACACUAUCCGUUUAGGUGCUGGAUUAGAAUCCAGGCGAGUCCGCAGUAUAGUCUUUACACUUCAUCAACUUCCACACAGGACAUAAAUUGUACUAAUAUAGUAAUAUACUGAAAUCUCAGACCAACUGUUUGUCAUCGGAUUAGAAUGUGAUGACACAGAAUAAAGAUGUGAGACAGAAUCUGUGCUGAGGUCUAAAUUCACAUUGGAAGUCUGGGAAGAGAAGACUGUUUAUAAAAUUAUAGCCCAGGAAUUGCUGCCAAAGUCGGCCUUUGGUGCAGCUGUAAGUCGGAUGGAAUCCACCUUCCUGACGUCAGACCCACCCACUGGAACACUGCUCCUCUGACUGGGGCUUCCCUGAAUGGAAACUACAUGUCAUACUGCAAAAGGUAAGGAACCCAGUGAGAAAGACAGAGAGAAGUAUGGACAAGAAACAGAUCCUAAACCUGUUUUGUUUUAUUUUUGGUAGUAGUUGUUUAUUUUUGAAAACAUUCAAACCACCUGUAUUGGUGGCUGUUAUUAUGAAAUAAAUAAACUGAGAAACAACAAGACAAUUUGGCCUCUACAAUUUGUUUAGUUUUGACUAAGUAUUUGCCUUGGAAGAAGUAUGUGUACAAUACUCAUUUUUAAAAGAUGCAACAGUCACCUCGUUACUUGGAGUUUUACUUGAGACUUGAAUGGACUGAAACCACCUGGUCACCACUAGAAGCUACAUCAAGGAAAAGAAAGGCAACAUAUUGAAUCUCUUGGGAGAAACUCAUCCUGUAUCUGCUCGAUUGAAAACAUGAAGGUGCACAUUCCAAGCUGCAUAUGCUCAGGUCCGAGUUUCCAAGGAAACAAGGGACUGCUCAUCUAUCUGCAAAACUGAACUGACGAGUCACUUUCAGCUUGUUACAAACCUUGAUUCUGAAUCAAAUUCUAGUGUGCAGUCUAAAAA
rnacentral:lncRNA from 1 species